CUUGAACGAGCCGAGGUACAACGGCUGCUGGCUCGGCCGCCCCUUGCCGUAGGUGGCGAGCAGCGCGUGUGCCUC
rnacentral:antisense_RNA from 2 species